AACGCAUCUUGCGCUCCUUGGCAUUCCGAGGAGCAUGCCUGUUUGAGUGUCAUUAAACUAUCAAAACACUUUUUUUGUUGAAGUGUUUUGGACUUUGGGAGUACUGUGCUGGUCUCUUUUGUUUUGGACCCAGCUCUCCUCAAAAGCAUUAACUUUGGAGAACCAUCAGUGUGAUAUAUCAUUUUGUUUAUACGCUGGCUUUCUCCUUUUAAAAAUGCCCCUUUGACCUCAAAUCAGGUAGGACUACCCGCUGAACUUAA
rnacentral:misc_RNA from 4 species